UUGACGGUACCCUACUAGAAAGGAGCCGCUAACUUCGUGCCAGAAGCGUCGGUAAUACGGGGGCUCCAAGCGUUAUCCGGUGUUAUUGGGCGUAAAGAGUCGUGUAGGUGGUUAGAUAAGUUAUCCUUCAAAUAUCUUUGCUUAACAAAGGGGAGGGGGAUGAUACUGUCUGACUAGAAUUUUCUCAAGGGAGAUCGGAACUGAGGGAGGAGUAGUGAAAUGCGUUGAUACCCUCGGGAACACCAGUGGCGUAGGCGGAUCUCUGGGAGAAGAUUGACACUGAGACACGAAAGCUAGGGGAGCGAAGCAGAUUAGAGACCUGCGUAGUCCUAGCCGUAAACGCAUGCUUGCUAGCUGCAUGAAUCUGCCUUCGGGUGGUAUCGUGUGGCGAAGGUAACCCGUUAAGCAAGCCGCCUGGAAAGUACGGCCGCAAGGCUGAAAUUCAAAGGAAUUGGCGGGGAGGCACACAACCAGUGGAACAUGUGGUUUAAUUCGAAACAAACCGAAGAACCUCACCAGGGUUUGACAUGUAGCUGCAAAUCUUAGGAAACUAAGACUCUUUCGAAGGUGCUACACAGGUGCUGCAUGGCUGUCGUCAGCUCGUUCCGUGAGGAGUGCCCUUAAGUGGGACAACGAGCGCAACCCUUAUUACAUUUUAGAAAUGUCAUGUAAGACUGCCUUGCCAUUUGGCGGGGAGGAAGGAGGGGCAGACGUCAAGUCCGCAUGGUCCUUAUACCCUGGGCUACACACAGGUUACAAUG
rnacentral:rRNA from 1 species